GAAGAAAAGUUUGAAAUUUUGAUUUAUCGAAGAGAGAAAGGAAAAAAAUAAAUAAAUAAAUAAAUAAAUAGAGAAAAGAGAAUAUCGUGAUGGUGAGAGAAGAGCCUAGUCCGAUUCGCGGUGUGUAGUGAUAUUGUCUCCGGGCCGCGCAGAACGUGCCGCCAGAAGUAGUCCGUCCGCCGCCGAAUUCUCCGAGGAACGAGGAUAAGAGCGAAGGAACGAAGUGGCAAGCAAGUUUCUUCCCACCCUGUGUGCGCGUGCGUGUGCGAUAACAACGUGGGAAAACAACGACGU